UUGUGAGUAAUUUGAAAAUUUUUACUUUUCUUUUCCUCAUUCAAUGACAUUUACUUUUAAUUUAUAGGUUCAUCUUCAGAUGCAUUAAUUAACACCUGCAGUCAUGGAUAAGAAGAGGAAUUUCCUUUAAAAAACCGAGAAGCAUUAUGAAGUUGCUAAGAUUUUGACCCCAUUCCUCUAAAGCCUUGUAUAUAAUCUCUUCCUCACCAAUAACUCAGUGUGUGGUGAGCAAAACAGAAAAAAAGUAGAAAGAUCGGGAACAGUGGCAGAGACCACCAGCAAAGAGCAGCUGUCUUAUGAAACAGCAGGAAGGAGCCACUCAAGGAAGUAAAAGAGGAGUCUUAAAUAAAGGCUGAUGCAGUUGGCUGGUGUAUUGAUGAGUCCUGAGGCCAGAUCUUCCUCAGCUGCCAGCAGAAGCCAAAGGUGAAUUUGAAGGUGUGGAGACUGAAGAGAAGUCAAAUUCAUCUUCCUCUCCUCCUUCUUGACAGCUGCCUCCCUGCAGAUUGGUUGGCUAUAGCCUGAGUCUCCCAUCCUGGCACUAAGGUACUU
rnacentral:lncRNA from 1 species